UGAUUAAGCUGCUCCUUGUUCCAUAUUAAUUUGGGAAGGAAAACAGCUUCAUUCUCGCUUUUCCACACUCCCUCCUCUGUGCAGGGCAUGCCCUCGCUGGCGGGGCUUCCAAGCCCAGGCUCUCCUCCCACGCGGGCCCUGCGGGCUUCCGCAGGCAGCACGGGACAGGGCCGCAGACUCUCAGGCAGCCUGUGGUAUGAUGAACUGGUCUGCAAGCAAAGAGCCCACCUCCUCAAUAUUCGUGGGCACUUCCAUAGAGAAUCCUUUAAAAUCUCACUAUGCCCCAGGGACAAAGUGCUCAGCACAGUGCACCACCACACACAUUUGCGUUGCUCAGAAUCCAAGG
rnacentral:lncRNA from 1 species